GUGCUUGCUUUGGCAGCACAUAUGAUGAAAUUGGAAUGAUAUACAGAAUAUUAGCAUGGCCCUUACACAAGGAUGACAUGCAAAUACAUGAAGCAUUCCAUAUUUUU
ensembl:snRNA U6 U6 spliceosomal RNA